rnacentral:rRNA from 1 species
AUAGAACGCUAGCGGGAUGCUUUACACAUGCAAGUCGAACGGCAGCGCGGACUUCGGUCUGGCGGCGAGUGGCGAACGGGUGAGUAAUGUAUCGGAACGUGCCCAGUAGCGGGGGAUAACUACGCGAAAGCGUAGCUAAUACCGCAUACGCCCUACGGGGGAAAGCAGGGGAUCGUAAGACCUUGCACUAUUGGAGCGGCCGAUAUCGGAUUAGCUAGUUGGUGAGGUAACGGCUCACCAAGGCGACGAUCCGUAGCUGGUUUGAGAGGACGACCAGCCACACUGGGACUGAGACACGGCCCAGACUCCUACGGGAGGCAGCAGUGGGGAAUUUUGGACAAUGGGGGCAACCCUGAUCCAGCCAUCCCGCGUGUGCGAUGAAGGCCUUCGGGUUGUAAAGCACUUUUGGCAGGAAAGAAACGUCGCGGGCUAAUACCCCGUGGAACUGACGGUACCUGCAGAAUAAGCACCGGCUAACUACGUG